rnacentral:rRNA from 1 species
AUUGAACGCUGGCGGCAGGCCUAACACAUGCAAGUCGAGCGGCAGCGGGAAAGUAGCUUGCUACUUUUGCCGGCGAGCGGCGGACGGGUGAGUAAUGCCUGGGAUCUGCCCAGUCGAGGGGGAUAACUACUGGAAACGGUAGCUAAUACCGCAUACGCCCUACGGGGGAAAGCAGGGGACCUUCGGGCCUUGCGCGAUUGGAUGAACCCAGGUGGGAUUAGCUAGUUGGUGAGGUAAUGGCUCACCAAGGCGACGAUCCCUAGCUGGUCUGAGAGGAUGACCAGCCACACUGGAACUGAGAAACGGUCCAGACUCCUACGGGAGGCAGCAGUGGGGAAUAUUGCACAAUGGGGGAAACCCUGAUGCAGCCAUGCCGCGUGUGUGAAGAAGGCCUUCGGGUUGUAAAGCACUUUCAGCGAGGAGGAAAGGUUGGUAGCUAAUAACUGCCAGCUGUGACGUUACUCGCAGAAGAAGCACCGGCUAACUCCGUGCCAGCCGCCGCGGUAACAC